UAUAUUCAUAUACCCAAUUUGAGCAUCGUAUGAAGAAUUAAUUACCUAGUUUGGUUUAGGUGCGUUAAUAGUGCGUUAAAUGACGUUUUUAGUUAUUUCACUUCUAGGUGGGACUUAUAACGAGGACGAGCACAUCCAGGGGCGUCAAGGGGGUUACGACCCGGCGACAUACCAGUUCUAGUUGAUAGUUGAGGCGUUGGUGGCCUACGAGGACUGCUUCGGUGUUCUGACAGACUAAAUAAAU